AGGAGAACCAUGCCCUGAGGGAGGGGAGCCAUGCACGAGCAGCUUCGGGUGACAGCGGCUCGCUUCAAGAGCAGGUGAAGCUAUUUGGGACAACGCUGAAGAUGUUUGCUCGCACUGGGCAAUCAGGUGCAGAUCAGACCCUAGUGCUGCGACGUCUUGGAGAGUUUGGCGAUGUUGUGCGUAGCAUGGAAAACAAAAUGGACACUAUGCUGCAACAUUUCAGUGCCAAUGUGUCUGUUUGAGAGCUAUCCCUGCCAGGGGAUGUUACUCCCCCUAGACACCCAGGAAGAUUUGGUGUUUCUUGACAGCAUUUUGAGGGAGGAUAAAGAGCUCCAGGAACGAUUUGUAAGUGUGUUGUUUUCGUUUAUAAGGCCGUAGGGUAAUCUAAAAAGUCAAAUUAAGUUUGUACACUGUAUAUUCUACAGUCUAAAUCCACAGCCUGUCACAUUUUAUAUUUAUGUAUACUCUUUUUGUAAAUGCCUUUUGUAAAUGCUCCUCUCAACUUUGAAAGUCUCACAGUAUCCCCAACCCGGAACUUGUAGCUUUAAUUACCAUUUCUCAUUAUUGUUGUACCAUACAAGUUCUUGCGAACUAAUCUAAUAUUUUCUUCACAAACGUCAGCAGGCUUCAUCUUAAUAGACCGAUGGUAGCUAUAGUUGUAUCCAUGAACUGAAUCUUGAAUAGCCUCAACAUAGCGAUGAGUGCUGGCAGCUGUGCGAUACCUCCACAUUUGUGAUUUAAUUGUUUUAUUAAAUCUC